CUAUUAUAUCAGUCAUUAACCCCAAGCACACCUGACCAAUCUCACCUCUGAGACACCUCCCAGACUCCCAAACACAAGACUUUUAACCAAACCUCAACCACCUAAACACACGGUUUUCAGCCCGUGAAUGGGCACACUCACAUGUAAAACUGUGAAAGUCUGUCAAGUUUAAGCUCUGCAGUUAAGACUUCUGCUCUAGUCAAAGACCUGGGUUUGGUUCCCAGCACCAACGAUCCUGGUGGAGGGCAUCUAAUGGCCUCUCUGGUCUUCUACGGGUGCCAAAAAGCAAGUGAUGAACACACAUGCACAGAAGCAAAUCACUCCUGUACAGGAAACACGGACCUCCAUAUCUCUUAUACGUCAGUCACCAUGGAUAAAGUGGUCAGAAAUACACAGAAAUGAGACAAAUAUCUGUAGCCAAAUCUGUAACAUUGUACUUAAAAGAAGCAAGGAACUCAAUCAAAGGAGAGGAAUUCCAAGAUUGUAGACAAGAAGUCUCAGUAUUAUUUCAGGACACAAUCUAAGCUAUAGAUUCAACAAACGUCCAAAAAAAAAAAAAAAGAGUCUAACGAUUACUACAAAGAACAACAGACAACCGAUGACAAAAGGUCAUCAUGAAUGACAACAUGAACAACACAAGACUGAACAGACACCACAGUGACACCAUCUGAUUUCAAAACUCUCCUACACCUGCAACAAAGACUGUGCUGCUGAGAAACAAUAAAGAGAUCAGCAGAACAUGAGAGAGCACUCUGAAACAGACACACAGUUAAUGUAGGUAACCCAGUAAGUCUGGCAUCUACAUGCGAAUGUGUUAAUAACGCAGAUUUUACACCUGCGCAGAGUUAACUGCAGACGGAUCCUACACCUCAAUGUCAAGUGCCAGGGGAAGAACUUGUAGAAGACACCAGAGAAAUUAGAGCUCUGCCAGUCAGAAAAUCUGCCGUCCCUGACGUGAAAUCCACGCAUGCGCUUGCGCUGACUGUUGUACUGCAGUUUGCGGACACCAGGUCCCGCUUCCCACGUUGUACGCAAGCGCAGUCAGGGGAACCAAAUCAUUGAGAGGUCCGGGUUCCGUCUGGGAAGUGCAGGGACCACAAGGUGAACAAAGGGAUCACGCAGGGCGCCGCAGGUUCCCGCAGCCCGAGACAACCCCACUCGGGCUCCCGCGGCUCCGCCCCGCGUGUGAACGGCGGCCCCGCUCACCAUUGCGCGGAUUCCGAGCUCGCCCGCUCUCCUCACAGCUCCCAGCAGCCGUUGAAAGAGCUGCGCGCGGAACCACGAGAGCCUCCCUCAGACUCACAGCCAAACCUGCAGCAUCCUAGGACGGAAGUGUCCGCCUCCGUCCUGACUGGCAGUCCGAGUCCCGGCUCUGAUUGGAUAAUGAAGCCUGGAUGACUGUGACGUAGCACAGUGGUUUCCAACCUUGUUGCCCACUCCAGGCACAGAACUUUCCCAGACCUGUGGAGAUUGGCAUUGCAGCUGAACUUGUGCCUGGACUGCAAAGUCACAGAGAAAGGGGUUCUCUGUGCAUCUCUCGAUACCCUAGAGCUCACUGUGGAGGAAGAAGAGGGCCUGAAACUCACAGAAAUCUACCAGACUAUGCCUCAUAACCUCUGGGAUGAAAAGUGUUCCCCACCCACAACCAGCAUCAAGAAAAUGUUUAAAGGGCGUAUUGGAAGAUUGUCCUGAAGGGAGGCAAACCCUCCCUAACUCGCAGCCAUUAAAACUUUACUGAUAUUCUGUUACUCUCUUGUCCAUUUACAGCUAUCUCAUUCUUCUAUGAUUGUGUUGAAAUGUUUUCUGGGCCCUUGAUCUGGGAAUCUUCUCCUUUGAUUCCUAUUAUUCUCAGGUUUGAUCUUUUCAGAGUGUCCCAAAUUUCCCACGUUUUGUGUCAUAAACUGUUUACAUUUUUCAUUUUGCUUGACUGAUGUAUCAAUUUCUUCUCUCAUCUCUUCUGUCCCUAGGGUUCCGUAUUCAGUCUCUGGUAUUCUUACGUCUGUACUUCCUGUCCUCUUUCCUAGGUUUCCCAUCUCCAGGAUUGCCUCAGUUUCUGUUCUUUACUGCUUCUGUUUCCACUUUUAGGAUUCAGACAUUGUUUUUUCAUAGCCUUCACCUGUUUGGUUGUAUUUAUUUGCUUAAUCUUUUAAUGCCUCUAUCUGUUCAAAUGUCUUCCUGAUUUCUUUAAUGGAUUUAUUCAAUUUUGUAAGACCGGAUUGAAGAUUAUCUUCUUGUGCUUCAGUUUCAUUUGGAUAUCCAGGGCUCUGUAGCAGGAUAGCUGGGCUCUGGUGGUGCCAUGGUGCCCUGGAUCUUGUUGGUUAUGUUUUUGCUCUGUCCUUCAGGCAUCUGGUUUUCCCUGGUGUUGGCUGGUUGACCCUGAUGUCCUCAGAACUUCUUGGGAAGGCAAGAGGAGCUGUGGACAGACAAUGAAGCUCAGAAGACCCAACUCUGUUGGGUGUUCUCCUAACUGGGCUGCCUGUCUGAUGUUAGUAAAAGAGGAUACAACCAGUCCUACAGGAUCUUGAUGUGCCAUGGAGGGAAACAAAGGGGAGAGAGGAAUAGGGGAAGGAUCUGUGUAAGGAGGUACCAGGAGGAGAUGGCGAUUGACAUUGGGAUGUAAACUGAAUAAAUAAUUUUUUUU
rnacentral:sRNA from 1 species